rnacentral:rRNA from 1 species
GACGAACGCUGGCGGCACGCUUAACACAUGCAAGUCGAACGGAGAUAAUUACUUCGGUAUUUAUCUUAGUGGCGGACGGGUGAGUAACACGUGAGGAACCUGCCUCUGAGUGCGGAAUAGCUUCUGGAAACGGAUGGUAAUACCGCAUAACAUUACUGAAUCGCAUGGUUUGGUAAUCAAAGAUUUAUUGCUCAGAGAUGGCCUCGCGUCUGAUUAGCUAGUUGGUGAGGUAACGGCCCACCAAGGCGACGAUCAGUAGCCGGACUGAGAGGUUGGACGGCCACAUUGGGACUGAGACACGGCCCAG